UUUUUUCUUUUUUGUUGAUUUUCUAUCUUAAAAAUCUGUCUAAUCCUAACAGUGGGGGGCUGAAGUCUCCAGCUAUUAUUGUAUUGGACCCUAUUUCUCUCUGUGGCUCUAUAGGCAUUACAUAUCUCUUUGCUCCAGUGUUGGGUUCAUAUAUCUUUAAAAUUAUUAUAUCUUCUUGCUGAACUUACUCCUUUAUCAUUAUUUAUUAUCAUAUAGUGAGCUUUUUGUCUCUUAUAGUUUGGUCUUGAAAUUUAUUUGGUCUUGUAAAAGUAAAGUGAUUCUUGGUCCUUUUUUUUUUCCAAUGACAUGAAAUAUAUUUUUACAUCACUUUAUUUUCAGGCUACGUGUAUUUUUAUAGGCCAAGUAUAUUUCUUAUAGGCAACUGGCCAGUGUAUCUUAUUUUUUCAUACAAUCAACCAGUCUAUUUUAAUUGGAGAGUUGACUCAACUUACAUUCAGUGAUAUUAUUGAUAAGUAUGGACUUACCCCUGCCAUUUUGUGGUUUGUUUUCUGGGGUUCUUUUGUGGUCUUUUUCUCCUUCUUUUAUUGCUUUCUCUAGUGAAGAUAAGUUUCUCUGGUGAUAUGAUUUCAUUUUCUGCUUUUAAUUUGUCGCAUUUUUUUUCUAUUUUUUUGUUUGAGGUUACCAUGAGACUUGCAAAUGCUACCAUCUUAUAGCCCAUUAUUUUAACCUGAUAACACUAUUUGCAUACACUAACAAGCAAAAAUAAAACUAAUAAAAACUCACCUUAACUCCACCUUCUACCUUUUUUACUUUUUGUUAUUUCUAUUUAUAUUUUACUCUACUAUAUCUUGAAAUAUUGUUGUGAUUAUUAUUUUGAUUUUUUUAUUUUUUAGUUUUUCUACUUAGAAUAAGAGUAGUUUACACACUAUAGUUAGAAAGUUAUUAUAUUCUGUGUUUUCCUACAUAACUAUUUUUAUGCAUGAGUUUUGUACCUUCAGGUGAUUACUGAUUGCUGAUUAACACUUCUUUCUUUCUGACUGAAGUACUACCUUUAGCUUUUCUUGUAGAAUGCAUCUAGUAUUCAUGAAAUUCUAUAGCUUUUGUUUCCUGAAAAAGUCUUUAAAUCUUCUUUAUAUGUAAAAGAUAUUUUCACCAGCUAUACUAUUCUAGGGUAAAAGUGGAUUCAUUUGUCCUUUUUUUUCUUUCAGCACUUCAAACAUGUCAUGCCAUUCUUUCUAGUUCUACGCAGUUUCCAGUAACAACAUGUUGCUGGACAUGUUGCAGCACCACUGUAGGUUUUUUUGUUUUGCUUUUUUUUUUUUCUUCUCUGUUGCUGCUUUUAGGAUCCUUUAUCCUUGAUCUUUAGGACUUUGAUUAUUAAAUUCCCUGAGGUAGUCUUAUUUGGGUUAAGUCGGCUUGGUGUCUAUAACCUUCUUGUAUUUGGAUGUUGAUUUCUUCCUGUAGGUUUGCAAGAGUUUUCUGUUAUUAUUCCCUUUGCAUAAACUUUCUACUCCUAUCGUUUUCUCUACAUCCUCUUUAAGGCCAAGAACUCCAGAGGCUACUUUCUAGAUGCUGUAGGCAUGCUUUAUGAUUUCCUAUUUUUUUUUUCUCUGACUGUAUGUUUUCUGUUAGCCUGUCUUCAAGUUCACUAAGUCUUUCUUCUGUUUCAUCCAUUAUAUUAAUACAUCUCUGCUGUAUUUUUCUGUAUGCCAAUUUUAUUUUUUAGCUCUGGAAUUUCUGCUUAAUUAUUUUAAUACCUCGUUAAUCUCACAGAAUUCUGAAUUUAUUAUCUGUGUUAUCUCAAAUUUCUUUGUUUCAACACUGGUCUUUGAAUUCUGUCUGAAAUGUCACGUAUUUCUGUUCCUCCAGGAUUGAUCCCUGGUACCUUUUUGAUUUCAUUUAGUGGGGCCACAUUUUCCUGAAUGGUACUGAUGCUAUUAGAUGUUCUAAGGCGUCUGGGUAUUGAAAAGUUAGGUAUCUAUCGCACUCUUUAUUAUCUGAGCUUAUUUAGAGUCUUUUUUUUUUUUUUUUUGGAAAAGCCUUUCCAGGUAUUGGAAAAGACUUGGACGUUGUGAUCUAAGCUGUGCCUGCUUUAGGAAGUACCACAAGCCCCAAAACUCCAUGGUUCUUCUGGAGUCGUAGAGGUACU
ensembl:lncRNA